rnacentral:rRNA from 1 species
UGGGGGAUAUUGCGCAAUGGGCGAAAGCCUGACGCAGCGACGCCGCGUGGGUGAUGAAGGCCCUCGGGUCGUAAAGCCCUGUCGAGGGGGACGAACCGGUCUCGGCCGAAUACGUCGAGACCCUGACGGUACCCCUAAAGGAAGCACCGGCUAACUCCGUGCCAGCAGCCGCGGUAAUACGGAGGGUGCAAGCGUUGUUCGGAAUCACUGGGCGUAAAGCGCGUGUAGGCGGUCUGCUAAGUCUGAUGUGAAAGCCCGGGGCUCACCCCCGGAAGUGCAUUGGAAACUGGCAGACUGGAGUCCCGGAGAGGAGGGUGGAAUUCCUGGUGUAGCGGUGAAAUGCGUAGAUAUCAGGAGGAACACCGGUGGCGAAGGCGGCCCUCUGGACGGUGACUGACGCUGAGACGCGAAAGCGUGGGGAGCAAACAGGAUUAGAUACCCCCGUAGUCC